rnacentral:rRNA from 1 species
GAUGAACGCUGGCGGCGUGCCUAAUACAUGCAAGUCGAGCGAACAGACGAGGAGCUUGCUCCUCUGACGUUAGCGGCGGACGGGUGAGUAACACGUGGAUAACCUUCCUAUAAGACUGGGAUAACUUCGGGAAACCGGAGCUAAUACCGGAUAAUAUAUUGAACCGCAUGGUUCAAUAGUGAAAGACGGUUUUGCUGUCACUUAUAGAUGGAUCCGCGCCGCAUUAGCUAGUUGGUAAGGUAACGGCUUACCAAGGCAACGAUGCGUAGCCGACCUGAGAGGGUGAUCGGCCACACUGGAACUGAGACACGGUCCAGACUCCUACGGGAGGCAGCAGUAGGGAAUCUUCCGCAAUGGGCGAAAGCCUGACGGAGCAACGCCGCGUGAGUGAUGAAGGUCUUCGGAUCGUAAAACUCUGUUAUUAGGGAAGAACAAAUGUGUAAGUAACGAUGCACGUCUUGACGGUACCUAAUCAGAAAGCCACGGCUAACUACGU